rnacentral:tRNA from 1 species
GAGAGUGUAGCUCAGUCGGUUAGAGCGUCGGCUUGUGGCGCCGAAGGUCGCGGGUUCGAGACCCGUCAUUCUCC